AUGGAAGCCCGCUUCCCUCCCGGACACAGAUGGACCUCGGUCCCCAGCUUCGCGGCUGCCCCGCUCACCAGCCGCGUUCGGGGUCCUUUGGGCCGCUCCAGGGGGUCGCCAGAACCCUCAGAGCUGAUGCCCGCCGCGCGCGGUCACGGCCCGGGCAGCCCGGCUCCGCCGCGCACCCAGGUCUGGGUCUCACUAGCUCCGGCUGACUUUGCACAGCAGCCCCUCCGCGUCGCCCGGGCGCCUGUGGUGGCGAGGCGCCAAGCUGUAGCCCCGGCCGACAGCACCCACCCCUUCCUCCGCAUCUUCCUCGCCUCUCCGCUCUCCCCUAGCUCCUGGAGACCCCACGCCUCCCGUGUCCCGCCGCCUCGACCACCGGGACUCACCGCUGGCGCCGCGCCGCCGCCGGUGCUGCGCGCUCCGAGGCGGAGCUGGGACGCCCUCCCGCGCGAGGGCAGCCUCCAGCGCCCACCCGCCGCCCCCGCCCCGCUCCCGCCGGCCCCUCCGCCCGCCCGCGCUGCCCCGGCUUUAGGGACUUACCUCUGGGACAAGGUGACCCGGCUAGUGCGCCCAGGCGGCCACCAGCGCGUCUCCCGAGCGAGCAAGCGUGCGGGCGCGGGGCCGUGCAGCGCCCGCCUCUGCUCCUCAGCUCCCCGGCUCUCUCCUCCUCUGCCCUCUCCUCCCCUCCCCUCGGCUCCUCUCCGCGCUGCUCCUCUCCCCACGCUGCUCGCCGCCCUGCGCUCGCCGCCCGCGCCCCCGGCUGCCCCGCGCGUCCUGGAGAGCCUGGCGUGGGGCAGCGGGGGCAGCCCCGGCGGCUGGGAGCUCGGGAGCUGUGGGAAUGGGGCGGAGCCCGGCCCUCUGACCCCCGGGAAAGGAAGGGGUGCGAGAAGACUCCCGCGGCGCGCUCCCAGCCGGCUGGUCGGGCGAGGGGGCUCCCGGGAGCGCCUCUCGGCUUGCCGAGCCUGGCGACGCGCUUGCUGGAGGCGGCGGCCACCGGCUCUGGGGGAGGAUGGAAGCUAG
rnacentral:lncRNA from 1 species